rnacentral:rRNA from 1 species
AAUAGAUACCCCGGUAGUCCAUGCCGUAAACGAUGUCUACUAGCCGUUGGGGCCUUUGAGGCUUUAGUGGCGCAGCUAACGCGAUAAGUAGACCGCCUGGGGAGUACGGUCGCAAGACUAAAACUCAAAUGAAUUGACGGGGGGCCCGCACAAGCGGUGGAGCAUGUGGUUUAAUUCGAUGCAACGCGAAGAACCUUACCUGGUCUUGACAUACAGAGAACUUUCCAGAGAUGGAUUGGUGCCUUCGGGAACUCUGAUACAGGUGCUGCAUGGCUGUCGUCAGCUCGUGUCGUGAGAUGUUGGGUUAAGUCCCGCAACGAGCGCAACCCUUUUCCUUACUUGCCAUCGGGUCAUGCCGGGAACUUUAAGGAUACUGCCAGUGACAAACUGGAGGAAGGCGGGGACGACGUCAAGUCAUCAUGGCCCUUACGACCAGGGCUACACACGUGCUACAAUGGUCGGUACAAAGGGUUGCUACCUAGCGAUAGGAUGCUAAUCUCAAAAAGCCGAUCGUAGUCCGGA